rnacentral:rRNA from 1 species
UAUAUAUUUACAUCUAGAAGAGGAAAGUCGUAACAAGGUAAGUCUACCGGAAGGUGGCCUUGGAA